AAAUUUUGAAAUUUGUAGUUUAUUAUUGACCCAUUUAUUCUGUAGCUAUAACUGGAUAUAUAUUGUUCGUGUUCCAUCUUUUUGUAUUUUUCUUUUAUUUCAGUUGCCCUCUUUUUUUUCACGUAAAAAUUGAAUUUUUGCUGGAUUAGAAAUUGCUGCAUAGCUGGUAGGCCUAUCGAUCGUAACUUAAGUUUAAGUUGUAACGUGUAGGAACUGUUAUUGUUUGAAAUUCAGGCAAAAAAAGUUGAAUAAGUUUUGACGUUUUCAUGUUGCGAGAGAGAAUUUGCACUUGUUGAUUUCAGUAGGCUGAAACUAUGGUUACAGAGUAUGGAGUGAAUGAUUCUGUUAAGGUAAAUCUAAAGUCAUCUUUGUAAAGAUUUGAUUUCUGAAAAGUUCACCAGCUUUUAUAAUAUCACAGCAAAACAACUUGAAGAAGCUUGCCUUAUUUCAAGAACCACAAUGUUUAGUGUGGGUAAUGCUUUUCUGGGCUCUCAACUGCAGGCUUUCUUACCUAUAAGUCAUGUGGCUUCAUCCUUUACUGGUGUAGCUUCCAGAAAAAGGAGUGACAAGAAUAAACUGAGCAAUAAGGAAAAUGGUAUAUUAUGUGCAGAGAGCUUUGAAGAGGCACUUAAGAAUUUUACAGAAACUGAAGUUAAACAUUUGUGGACAAAAAAAGGAAUUCCUCUCUUUAAACAGUCUUUUGCAUCAAUAUUAUCUACUAGACAUUCACUUCCAUGGAAAGUAUCUUAUGUUUCAUCUUUCAGUUUUGAGGAAAAUAAAAAUGGGUUCUUAUCCUCUGAAGUAUGGAAACAAGACAUAAAUGUCAGUGUUAUGAAAGACUGGGCUCACUGGAAAAUGCCACUUAUUUCAGUUUCUUCUUGUGCUUCAUUAGGUGCUCAGCCUAGAAGAGGAUUUAAGACAAAAACACAAAGAACAGCAUCAGGUCUUGGAACAUCAGUAACAGAGGUGGAAGGCACAAGCAUGGGAGGCAGAAUUCUUGGUCUUCGUGGUCGGAAAGAGAGGGAAAAAGCAAAGAUGCAGACUGAAGCAGAACAAAGUGAUAAACUUAAAUCUCUUCUUGCUGAUGAAAAUCUGUCUCCUGAUGAGCAACAGAGACUCAGGGUAGCAUUUGCUGAAGGAUACCUAGCUGCAGACCCGAAAACAAGAACUGGUUCAAAAGUGCGUCUGUUCAACCUUUUCCGUGACCUUUUAGGAAUUGUAUUGAUACUAGCAAUUCUUUUUUCCUUCAUGGGUGAGCUAUCUGGAGGGCCCUUCAGACGAGUUCUGAUUGGUUCUGGAAAUGAAGUCCAUCCUGAAGAGAUUGAUGUAACUUUUGAUGAUGUAAAAGGGGUAGAUGAGGCUAAACAAGAACUACAAGAAAUAGUUGAGUUUCUGAAAAACCCUGAAAAGUUUUCUGUUCUUGGAGGAAAACUUCCAAAAGGUGUGUUGCUGGUUGGUCCACCUGGUACUGGGAAAACACUACUAGCACGGGCUGUUGCUGGAGAAGCCAAUGUUCCAUUUUUCCAUGCUGCAGGUCCAGAAUUUGAUGAGAUAUUAGUUGGGCAAGGGGCUAGAAGAGUGCGAGAUCUCUUCAAUGUUGCCAAAAUGAGAGCACCAUGUGUUAUAUUCAUUGAUGAAAUUGAUUCCGUGGGGGCAAAAAGAACAAAUUCUGUACUUCAUCCAUAUGCAAAUCAGACUAUUAACCAGCUGCUAUCUGAGAUGGAUGGGUUUCGACAGAAUGAAGGUGUUAUUGUUUUAGGAGCUACAAACAGAAGGGAUGACUUAGAUAGAGCACUUUUAAGACCUGGUAGAUUUGAUGUUGAAAUACAAGUACCUAUUCCUGACUUAAAAGGAAGAAAAGAAAUUUCUAAGUUAUAUCUUGACAAAAUAGUAAAAGCUCAUGAUGUAGAUCUUGACGUCUUGGCAAGAGGUAGUACAGGAUUUACUGGGGCAGACAUAGAAAAUAUGAUCAACCAGGCAGCUCUCCGGGCAGCGAUUGAUGGUGCAGAGGCUGUGACCAUGAGCUAUAUUGAAAAUGCUCGAGACAAAGUCCUUAUGGGCCCAGAAAGAAAAUCUCGUAUUCCAGAUGAAGAAGCUAAUGUUAUUACAGCCUACCAUGAAGGAGGUCAUGCUUUGGUUGCUUACUACACCAAGCACUCUCAUCCACUACACAAGGUGACAAUCAUCCCCCGUGGACCUUCACUUGGACAUACAGCUUAUAUACCAGAGAAAGAGCAUUACCAUGUCACAAAGGCACAGAUGUUAGCUACAAUGGAUACUUUAAUGGGAGGUAGGGCAGCAGAAGAACUGAUAUUUGGUCCAGAGAAGAUAACUUCAGCUUGGUGUACGCACCUUUGAUGAAGAACGUAACUCCUUAGUUGUUAUCAGUGAAUUGGCACCUUCAACAUCAGAAGCUAUUGAUGCAGAAAUAAAAAGACUCUUAACGGAGUCAUUUGAACGAGCCAAAAAUAUCCUUCGAAAUCAUAGUCGAGAGCAUCGAGUGAUAGCUGAAGCCUUACUCAAGUAUGAGACCUUAGAUGCAGAAGACCUUAAAACUUUGCUCAGUGGUAAAGAAAAGAUUGUA
rnacentral:misc_RNA from 1 species